rnacentral:rRNA from 1 species
GAAACUCAAGCUAAUACCGCAUAUCCUCUACGGAGGAAAGGCUUCGGCCGCUUUGGGAUGAGCCUGCGUUAGAUUAGCUUGUUGGUGGGGUAAUGGCCUACCAAGGCAACGAUCUAUAGCUGGUCUGAGAGGACGAUCAGCCACACUGGGACUGAGACACGGCCCAGACUCCUACGGGAGGCAGCAGUGGGGAAUAUUGGACAAUGGGCGAAAGCCUGAUCCAGCAAUGCCGCGUGCGUGAAGAAGGCCUGCGGGUUGUAAAGCACUUUCAGUAGGGAGGAUAAUGACGUUACCUACAGAAGAAGCACCGGCUAACUCUGUGCCAGCAGCCGCGGUAAUACAGAGGGUGCAAGCGUUAAUCGGAAUUACUGGGCGUAAAGCGCGCGUAGGCGGUUUGAUAAGUCGGAUGUGAAAGCCCAGGGCUCAACCUUGGAAUUGCAUUCGAAACUGUCUGACUAGAGUUUGGGUAGAGGGUAGUGGAAAUUCCUGGUGUAGCGGUGAAAUGCGUA